GGAGAGAUGGCCGAGAGGUUGAAGGCGCACCCCUGCUAAGGGUGUAUGCUCCAAAAGGGCAUCGAGGGUUCGAAUCCCUCUCUCUCCGCCA
rnacentral:tRNA from 1 species